UACGGAGGGUGCAAGCGUUAUCCGGAUUCACUGGGUUUAAAGGGUGCGUAGGCGGGUUGGUAAGUCAGUGGUGAAAUCUUCAAGCUUAACUUGGAACUGCCGUUGAUACUAUCAAUCUUGAAUAUUGUGGAGGUAAGCGGAAUAUGUCAUGUAGCGGUGAAAUGCUUAGAUAUGACAUAGAACACCGAUAGCGAAGGCAGCUUGCUACACAGUUAUUGACGCUGAGGCACGAAAGCGUGGGGAUCAAACAGG
rnacentral:rRNA from 1 species